rnacentral:pre_miRNA from 1 species
GUUCUACUCCCUCCGUUCGGAAUUACUUAUCGCAGAAAUGGAUGUAUCUAGAUGUAUUUUAGUUCUACAUACAUCUAUUUUCGAGACAAGUAAUUUCGAACGGAGGGAGUAGUUC